AGAGCUGUAGCUUAGUGGCAGAGCAUGUGCUUUGUAUACGGAAGGUUCUGGGUUCAAUUCCUGGCAUCUCUC